UACGUAGGGUGCGAGCGUUAAUCGGAAUUACUGGGCGUAAAGCGUGCGUAGGCGGUUCGUCGUGUCCGAUGUGAAAGCCCCGGGCUCAACCUGGGAAUGGCAUUGGAAACUGGCGGACUCGAGUGUGGCAGAGGGGGGUGGAAUUCCGCGUGUAGCAGUGAAAUGCGUAGAGAUGCGGAGGAACACCGAUGGCGAAGGCAGCCCCCUGGGCUAACACUGACGCUCAGGCACGAAAGCGUGGGGAGCAAACAGG
rnacentral:rRNA from 1 species